UCGAAGUUCUCAACCGUCAAUUCUCUCUAACCUUACUCACUCCACACUCAAAAGUCACACUUUUAACACCAUGGAACUCAAUCACCACCACCACCACACAUUCCCAUGGCCACCACCUCCACCACCUCCCUUUUCCUUUACACCCCAUUCAACGCUCAAAACUCCAACAAAACAUUCCCCAGACACCGCUACUCUCACCCAAACAUCACCUCCUCCUCCGUCACAGCCCAAUCAAAACCCGCCAAGGAUCAUCUCCUCUCCCUCGUCUCCGACCAGGAUCGCGGCCUCAAAACCCAAAACAACCCCACCAAACGAGCCUCUAUAAUCACCGCAAUUGAAGAAUUGGCCGCCCUCGGCGCCGGCUCUGUAACCACCGGCGACUCCCUCUCUAGCACGUGGCGGUUACUCUGGACGACGGAGAAGGAGCAACUCUUCAUCAUUGAGAAGGCUCACUUGUUCGGAACCAAAGCUGGUGAUGUAUUGCAAGUCAUAGAUGUUGAGAAACUGAGUCUCAAUAAUGUAAUCACGUUUCCUCCUGAUGGAGUUUUCUUUGUAAGAUCAAAUAUCGAAGUCGCUUCGUCGCAGAGAGUGAACUUCAGAUUUACUAGUGCAGUGUUGCGUGGGAAGAACUGGGCAAUACCAUUGCCACCAUUUGGACAGGGUUGGUUUGAUACUGUAUACCUCGACGAUGACCUUCGAGUUGUAAAGGAUAUCAGGGGAGACUAUUUAGUUGUUGACCGAGCUUCUUAUAGCUGGAAAGAAUGACUAGAAUCUUCACUGUCACUGUUUGCUCAUCUUCAUUAAUGGAAGUUUCCAACUCAUCUCUGCCUUUAUGGAGGUGAUAUUCGACCAGCUGAGGGUGAUUUGUCAAAGUAUCUACAAAAACCUGUAAAUUUACCAAGUACUCGUGUGAAGAAGAAUCAUAAAUCACAGAAUGUUGUAUGGAUUCUAGAAAAUCUAUUCCUGGAUAUGUUUUCACUAUGUUUGGCACGUAAAUUAGUUGAAAAACGACACUUCACAAGGUUGUUUCCUUAUUAACCAUUGAAACGGAGUAUAUUGCCCUUAUUGAACCCGUGAAAGAAGCAUUAUGGCUUGAAGGUAUUCCUAAGGAGAUGAAACUUCAAGGCCGACUUAUCAAUGUUAAAUGUGAUACUCAAAGUGAAAUACACCUGUCGAAGAAUUCAACCUAUCAUGAGUGAACCAAGAACAUUGAUGUGAGGCUGCAUUUCGCCUGAGAGAUAAUCGAGCAUUGAGAAGUCCAAGUGCGAAAUGUUUUGACUAAAAUGUUGUUGAUAUGACCACCAAGACAUUUCCAAGCUGCAAGUUUUUCCACUUUAUGCAGUUGAUAAAUCUGCAUGAAGAAGCUAGUUUGUUGCCUUAGUGUUUGUAGAUUUUAUUCCAAGGUUGAGAUUUGUGAGAAAUUCGACCAAACUCUAGUCUCGAUAAGGAUAACUUGAUAUUUCAACAGGAGAUGUAGAUGUUGUAGUCGAAGUUUGUUCAAGCAUGUUGUCGAAAUAUGUUAACUUGUAUUCUAAGUUAGUAUGUCGAAUUGGACCUUUGUUUAAGCCAAAUUAUUUAAGUUAUCUUGUUGCUUAAGUUAGCUUAGUAGUCUACAAAUAGACUAGCUCUCUCAGGUUGUUGAAAUAGGUUAGUUGUUGGUAUUCACUUGUAAUUUUUAACCCUUAUUGAGAAAGUGAAUAGUAAAAUAGUUUUAAUCAAUUCUUCUUCUUCUUCUUCGAUAUUCUAUCUCUUUCUUAAACCUAAUAGGGUUUCUUGUGUUUGUUCAAGAAACUCAAUCUUUAUCUCAUAACUUUGUUAUGUUAUUGGCGACAUCGUUUCACAACAAAUAUCAUAAAGCAUCUAGAAGGGGCAUUGUAGGUAUUUUAAAUUGAAUAACAAUAUAUGUUUCUUUGAUUUAAUCACGGCCUUUGAAUUAAGUUAAUCAAUGGUCCACAAUUUCUAUCCAUGUCCAUGUUUUUCUACCAAUAAAAAUAUAAAGAAAUAGAGAAUAAAAGAAAAUAGAAAAAAAUAAAAAAGAGAAGAAAAACGUGUGGAUAACUUCAUUUUUUGCCAGCCAGUGAUACCUCCACACACAAAGAAACACGUGUCCCCCCUUAUCUGGAGGAUCUCUGAAUUUGAAAAAAAGAAAGGAAAACAGGCAUGACCCCCAUCUCAAAAAUACGUCUCAACGUCUCUUUUACAUUAGAAUAGGAAAAUUAUUUUUCCUAAAAGGGGGAAAUUCUAAAUAGAGCCUUAGAUAGACUAUUCUCUCUCUCACACACACACAUACACCCCUCUCUAAAAACUUCACUGUUCAUCACACAAGCAAAACCUCUAAAAAAAACUAAAGAGAAACAUCAUAAGAAAAUCCCUUUGCUGAACUAAAUCAUCCGCCCAACACCUUAAUAACCCCAUCAAUCUCUCUUCUAAAACCUCACCACCAACAUACACCAUAGACCGCUUCUGCGUCGGAUAACUUCAUCACUCGAGACCUUUCUUAAACCUUUUAUACAACUCCACGAUUAACCCCUCUUCCAUCUCUCGGUCCAACUUCCAUAACGUUAUGCUUGCUAUGUAGCGCCUCUUUCAAAACUCAUCCUCUGUCCUCCAUUGCUUAUAGCCACCACCGUGCAUCCUCCAUUAACCACUUUGAAACCACCAUUAUCCAUGUAAUAUUUUGGCCGACCUUGAUCUCACAACCAUUAUUGCAUAUCAUCACAAACCACCAAAUGGACUACCAAAAAACUAUCUUUCAACAUACCCUUCCAACCAUUAAAACCCACAUCUCCGACCUCCUAUUUAUUCCUCAUCGUAACCCUCAACUCGACCUCCAACAACAAUAACCACCCACAUAACAACAUAAGUCCUCACAUGGUGCAACUCUACCUUUGGAAACCAAUGGAUAUUUUAGAGUGGAUUUCUAUAGAGGCUUCAAUAAGAUGCGAAAAGAUUUCUAUGACGGUAUUGGAAUUCUUCGGUUGUUAGGUGCAACACUUGUUCUGCCAAAGUUUAAAGUGGCUUUAUUUUGGGUUGAAACAAAUGGUUUUGCGGAUGUAAACGAUUUAGACUACUUCACUCAACUGACAUCGUUUCCAAACAUCAACAACUCAGAGAAACACAACUUAGUGAUAACUCACAUCUUCCAUAAAAAAUUUCACUCGCGUAGCGUUUGAUAUUUUUCGGUUUGAAUUUCAUUUAUGAUUUCUAUUUGGUUAUGUUUCAUUUUGAUUUGGUCGUGUUUGUUUCUUUUUCGCAUUUUCAAUCUCGGCUUACGUUGUUUACUAUCUUGUUUUAAUUUCGGUUAUGUUAUGAUUUAGUUUCGAGUUCUAGAUUGUAUCGGUUAUCAGUUUUUACAUUCUAGAGUGUGCAUUAUGUAAUGUUGUUUGAAUAUAGUGGCAGUAUUUGUUUUGAUUAUGUGAUUUCGCUCGCAUGCCAUUCGAGCCGAACAAUUAUCAAUGUCGUUGGACUUGAAUUCGAGUGAGCUAUGAUCCAUGUUUGUUUGCAUAUAAUUUGUUGUAUAUUUAGUUUGAUUGUUAUUCAGUUAUUGUAUUGAUUGCGAUUCAAUUAUGUGAUACUUGUGUUGGACUUUGAUAAAGUGAUAUUGUUACAACGAUGUGAAUAUUGUAAACAGUAAUAAUAUAUUGAAUUGCCGCUAUUUUAUUUUGA